ensembl:snRNA U5 U5 spliceosomal RNA
AUACUCUGGUUUCUUUUCAGAUUGUUAUAAAUCUUUCGCCUUUUACUAAAGAUUUCCGUGGAGAGGAACAAUUCUGAGUUUUUUGUAUACCUGUGGCGAAUUCAUUUUGAUAUAUGGCAAAAUC